GAUGAACGCUGGCGGCGUGCCUAAUACAUGCAAGUCGAGCGAACAGACGAGGAGCUUGCUCCUCUGACGUUAGCGGCGGACGGGUGAGUAACACGUGGAUAACCUACCUAUAAGACUGGGAAAACUUCGGGAAACCGGAGCUAAUACCGGAUAAUAUAUUGAACCGCAUGGUUCAAUAGUGAAAUACGGUUUUGCUGUCACUUCUAGAUGGAUCCGCGCCGCAUUAGCUAGUUGGUAAGGUAACGGCUUACCAAGGGGACGAGGCGUUGCCGACGGGAGAGGGGGGUAGCCCGCCCGGGAACUUAGCCGCGGUCCUGACGCCUACGGGACGCCGCAGUAUGGAAUCUUCCGCAAUGGGCGAGAGUCUGACAGAGCAACGGCGCGUGAGUUGUGACGGUCUUCCGAUCGGAAAGCCCGCUUAUUAGGGGAGAACAAAUUUGUAAUUAACCGUGCACUUCUUGACGGUACCUGGUCAGAAAGCCACGGCUAACUACGUG
rnacentral:rRNA from 1 species